AGAGAAAUAGCAAUUGCGACCAAGAAAUAGUAGCAGAAUUAGUUCAAAAAUGGAGAGGUGAAACCACAGACAGGUUCUUCUUGAGAAUUAAGGACAGAAGUGGUGAUCCUGAAGACUGUGAUGUUGAUAUUGGUGGUCUUGAAAACCUUGAUGAUGAUGAAGAAGUUGAUGACGACGUGUUGCUG